CAGAUCCGAACCUGAACCCGAUCA
rnacentral:siRNA from 1 species